UAUUAGAUGAGCCCGCGGUCCAUCAGGUUGUUGGUGGGGUAAUGGCCUACCAAGCCUAAGACGGAUAGCUGGUCUGAGAGGAUGAUCAGCCACACUGGGACUGAGACACGGCCCAGACUCCUACGGGAGGCAGCAGUGGGGAAUAUUGCGCAAUGGGCGAAAGCCUGACGCAGCAACGCCGUGUGAGUGAUGAAGGCCCUCGGGUCGUAAAGCUCUGUCAGCAGGGAAGAUGGGAGAUAAGGUUAAUAGCUUUAUCUUUUGACGGUACCUGCAAAGGAAGCACCGGCUAACUCUGUGCCAGCAGCCGCGGUAAUACAGAGGGUGCAAGCGUUGUUCGGAAUUAUUGGGCGUAAAGCGCGCGUAGGCGGCUAUAUAAGUCUGACGUGAAAGCCCGGGGCUCAACCCCGGAAGUGCAUCGGAAACUAUAUAGCUAGAGUCCCGGAGAGGAUGGUGGAAUUCCAGGUGUAGAGGUGAAAUUCGUAGAUAUCUGGAGGAACAUCAGUGGCGAAGGCGGCCAUCUGGACGGUGACUGACGCUGAGGUGCGAAAGCGUGGGGAGCGAACAGGAUUAGAUACCCUGGUAGUCCACGCCGUAAACGAUGGAUACUAGGCGCAGCGGGUAUUGGCCCCUGCUGUGCCGUAGCUAACGCAUUAAUAUCCC
rnacentral:rRNA from 1 species